rnacentral:lncRNA from 1 species
ACGGGAAUGGAUUUUCUCCAGUUUAAAUCUCACCCAUUAAAAGUUCAUCUCACUCUUUAUUUUAUAUUUUAAAUAUUGAUCUUAAUGGUUGAAAUUCCACUGGACUGUAAUGUCACUGGAGAGGAUCCCAGCCCCUUCCAAAUAAGCUCUUAUUUCUUCUUGUUCUUUGUACCUUGCUUCAGUUGACCAGUAAGGGUAAUCCAACACGAGUAACAUUCCAUUUUGCAUUUGCAAAAUUGUAUUUUGGGACUAAGGUCAUCAAAGAACAAUAGAUAACACCCAAGCCUUAAAUUAUG